AGAAAAUUAGCAAACAUGAAUAAAUGGCGAAAACAAUAUAAUUAUAACAUAUAUUUUUAUUUUACUUAUUUUAGGUCUGUGAAGCCAAACUUGAUGCUGGGGAUUUAUUUUUGUCAGUGGAGUCAAAUGGUCUAGAUGAUCACAUCUGUCUUUGUCAUUUAAAUGAGGUGGACUUGCAAACUUUGCGCUCUUUUGGAUUUCAAGACAGAGCUUAUUGUUCUCUGAACUUCCUUGUUUGCUGAACGGCAGGUAAAGUGCAUCUUUUUGUUUGUUUGCUUUUGUGUGUUUGUUUUCUCUAAUGGGCCUCAGAUGACUGUUUGCUUAAAUUUGGGUCUCAAAGAAUCUUUUUUUUUAUUCUGCCUGUACUCUCCACCCCUCUUCCUCUGUUGCUCAGGUUAAAGCAGAAUUUGCCCGUCUUACAUCUGUUGACCUGAAAGGGUUCCUUUUUGCUGUGCUUGACCAUUAUGGAGAGGUUCGUGGAGCUGUACAAAAUCAAGAGCGGCAUAGGAGGGCUAACUAGGCUCAUAAGAUGCUUCGGUGAUGAUAGCCCUACACAAAGGAAGAGCACAGAGGACCUCAUUUUCUAAAGGAAGAUCCCUCACACACUUUCAAGACUGUGAAGCCAACAGGUGUUGAAGACACAUUUUCUAAGAGGAUGAAAGUUGGCAUUGCGAUGGUGAAAGAAGAAGACAUCAUCGAUGUGUUGGUUGUCCUUGAGGCGGCAGUAAUCCUGUCUAAUCUGAGGGAUGUCUCAAGUGCCAUUUCCAUGCUGAUGGGCCUUCUUUUGCCCUCAACAUAGACUAUCCAAAGGAACUUAAGGACAUCUUUGAAGUCAUUCAGAACAUCCUAAUGAACAUUGGUGGAAGGCAGUGCAUCUCACUAGUGCAUGGUUUAAGAAACAGACUCUUGCAGAAAGCCAUGCAGAACUGUA
ensembl:lncRNA